UACGUAGGGGGCGAGCGUUGUCCGGAAUCAUUGGGCGUAAAGAGCGUGUAGGCGGCUUGGCAAGUCUGACGUGAAAUCCCGCGGCUCAACCGCGGUAGGUCGUUGGAAACUGCCUCGCUAGAGUCCGGAAGAGGAGAGCGGAAUUCCUGGUGUAGCGGUGAAAUGCGCAGAUAUCAGGAAGAACACCCGUGGCUAAGGCGGCUCUCUAGUACGGUACUGACGCUGAGACGCGAAAGCGUGGGGAGCGAACAGG
rnacentral:rRNA from 1 species